AAAGGGAGCGUAGGCGGAAUGGUAAGUCAGCCGUUAAAUAGCGGGCUCAMCCCCGUAGUGCGGUUGAAACUGCCGUUCUUGAGUGCACGAGAGGUAGGUGGAAUUCGUGGUGUAGCGGUGAAAUGCUUAGAUAUCACGAAGAACUCCGAUUGCGAAGGCAGCCAACAAGGCCUUUACUGACGCUAAAGCUCGAAGGUGCGGGUAUCGAACAGGAUUAGAUACCCUGGUAGUCCGCACGGUAAACGAUGGAUGCCCGCUGUUUGCGAUAUACUGUGAGCGGCCAAGAGAAAUCGUUAAGCAUCCCACCUGGGGAGUACGCCGGCAACGGUGAAACUCAAAGGAAUUGACGGGGGCCCGCACAAGCGGAGGAACAUGUGGUUUAAUUCGAUGAUACGCGAGGAACCUUACCCGGGCUUGAACUGCCAGCGAACGAUUCAGAGAUGAUGAGGCUUCGGGGCGCUGGUGGAGGUGCUGCAUGGUUGUCGUCAGCUCGUGCCGUGAGGUGUCGGCUUAAGUGCCAUAACGAGCGCAACCCUUUUCAUUAGUUGCCAUCAGGUGAUGCUGGGCACUCUGGUGAUACUGCCACCGUAAGGUGUGAGGAAGGUGGGGAUGACGUCAAAUCAGCACGGCCCUUACGUCCGGGGCUACACACGUGUUACAAUGGGAGGUACAGAGAGUCGGUGCAUGGCAAUAUGCAUCUAAUCCUUAAAGCCUUCCUCAGUUCGGAUUGGGGUCUGCAACCCGACCCCAUGAAGCUGGAUUCGCUAGUAAUCGCGCAUCAGCCAUGGCGCGGUGAAUACGUUCCCGGGCCUUGUACACACCGCCCGUCAAGCCAUGAAAGCCGGGGGCCCUUGAAGUCCGUGACCGCAAGGAUCGGCCUAGAGCGAAACUGGUAAUUGGGGCUAAGUCGUAACAAGGUAACCCUGCACAC
rnacentral:rRNA from 1 species